AUGAAACACUCCUACGGGAGGCAGCAGUGGGGAAUAUUGCACAAUGGGGGAAACCCUGAUGCAGCCAUGCCGCGUGUGUGAAGAAGGCCUUCGGGUUGUAAAGCACUUUCAGCGAGGAGGAAAGGCUGAUGCCUAAUACGUAUCAACUGUGACGUUACUCGCAGAAGAAGCACCGGCUAACUCCGUGCCAGCAGCCGCGGUAAUACGGAGGGUGCAAGCGUUAAUCGGAAUUACUGGGCGUAAAGCGCACGCAGGCGGUUGGAUAAGUUAGAUGUGAAAGCCCCGGGCUCAACCUGGGAAUUGCAUUUAAAACUGUCCAGCUAGAGUCUUGUAGAGGGGGGUAGAAUUCCAGGUGUAGCGGUGAAAUGCGUAGAGAUCUGGAGGAAUACCGGUGGCGAAGGCGGCCCCCUGGACAAAGACUGACGCUCAGGUGCGAAAGCGUGGGGAGCAAACAGGAUUAGAAACCCUUGAGUCCGAAGUUC
rnacentral:rRNA from 1 species